rfam:Salmo salar isolate Sally breed double haploid chromosome ssa03, whole genome shotgun sequence.
AAUAUCAACUACUGUAAGUUGCUCUGGAUAAGAGUGUCUGCUAAAUGACUAAAA